rnacentral:rRNA from 1 species
CCUACGGGAGGCAGCAGUGAGGAAUAUUGGUCAAUGGGCGAGAGCCUGAACCAGCCAAGUCGCGUGAGGGAGUACUGCCCUAUGGGUUGUAAACCUCUUUUGUCGGGGAGCAAAAGCCGGACGUGUCCGGCUGUGAGAGUACCCGAAGAAAAAGAAUCGGCUAACUCCGUGCCAGCAGCCGCGGUAAUACGGAGGAGGCGAGCGUUAUCCGGAUUUAUUGGGUUUAAAGGGUGAGCAGGCGGAUUGUUAAGUCAGCGGUAAAAUCGUGGGGCUCAACCCCAUCCAGCAGUUGAAACUGGGGAUCUAGAGUGCGCGAGAGAUAUGCGGAAUGCGUGGUGUAGCGGUGAAAUGCGUAGAUAUCACGCAGAACCCCGAUUGCGAAGGCAGCAUACCGGUGCACAACUGACGCUCAGGCACGAAAGCGUGGGUAUCGAACAGGAUUAGAUACCCUGGUAGUC